UGGUGUUUAAAUUAAAUACAUUUGAUUAUUUGAUUAUUUCUUGUUCUAAACAUACAGGUGAUAUCGCUGUUCUGGACUUGAAGCAUUGAAGACGCUAGGGAUCACGUGAGAAAACCACACAAGAAAAAUGUUCGCAUAAGAUACGGCAAAAAUGUAAAGGUGAUGUCGCUGUUGUGGACUUGAAGCAUUGAAGAUGCUAGGGAUCACCAGAUCUCCAGAUCCAGUGAGAAAACCACACACGAAAAAUUUUCGCAUAAGAGAGAAGUAAGGUUGUCUGAACCUAAUUAUUCGUCUAUUAAUGUAAAAGUAUUAUCUGUAUUUUUUUAUUUUUACCAGUUUAGUUUUGGUUGCUUUCUAUUUUGCGAUAAGCAUGUUUUCCUGGAUCGAAUGAAAGCAAUAAAAGUAAAAUGAAAGUAAUGUAUCAACACAAAUUGCUAUACCUAACUGUAUUUCUACACAAUAGAAUAAUCUGUGGAUGAACG